UAAAAGGAGGGACAGCUCCUGGGCUUGUCUUUCUGGUUGUUCACUCACUUAUCCCGUGAUUAUGGAGCUGUGUUUUGGAAGAAGGGGAAAAAAGGAAAACCAGAUAGACAACUGCCCAGAGUAUCAAGAAGUUAAAUGAAUUGUUCACAGUCACACUGUCAGUAUAUGAGUGAGAGUAAGGACCUGAACCCAGAUGUUCCUGACUCCAAGAAACACUGGGAAUUUUGAAAGAACUCUGAGGCUUGAUGAAAGAAUCCUGGGGCAAGAUGAAGAAAUGGAGACUGAGAGAGUUCAAGUGACUUGCCCAUAGUUGAAGAGCUGGUUUCUAUGAGAUCUGGGUAACUUCUUCAGUCAUGGCAUCCAGUGAAAAGAAUUUAGUUUCCAGCCUUGGGAAUUUCACCAGGUCAGAAGAGCAAGCUACAAGAUGCUAAGAAUUAGAACUUAAACUUAUCCAGUUGAACGCCAGUGUCCUGGGAAACAAAGAACUAUUUUAAAGAGCAAUCUUUGAGACUCUAGUCCAGUGGAAGGAUUCAUCUAGCAGCUGUUCACAUAUGUACUUGAACUUGGUAGGACCAAUACUAUGCAAAAAACUGAGCUGUUUUGAGAUUUCCAUUCUGGUACUUUGGGGUGGGGAGAGGGUGAAAAAUAGAUGUUAGGGGAAAUGAUUGAAUGUUCCUGAUAUAUAUGUGAAAAAAUAUCUCUUUGUAAAAGCCAGUAGAUCCUGAGUGGUUAAGUGGAACAGAGUCCUAGUCACUGGGCCCCUAAAAAUGGAAUGAACACAACCAGUGAGGGUCUAGAGCUAAUAAUAGAGGAAAGAGAAAUCGUGAGCUCCCCAGGAUGCCUGAAAACGCUUAGUGAGGGGAUGUAUCAAAGUAAGAGUCAACCGUGUUCUAAUAUAAACACCUAAGUACAAGUUAGCUAUUACUUUAUCUGUCAGUGCUUAAUAUAAGCACAGAUACUCUCCCAGAAUUAAGUUUAAAAUUCCCCUUCAAUCCCUCUGAAGAAUCAAAGGACCCUUCUGGGCUGGGCUGGCUCUGGCAAUUGGGUUUUGGUGUUUGUCACUUUUGAAAGUGACAAGAAAGAGGCUUCUGUCUUUUCCAAUUUUUUCACCAGCCUUCAGGCAUCAAAAGCUUACAUUAAAUUACCAACUGCUUACAUUAGUUAUAAGAGCAGGAUUUUAGCUACUCAUACAUCCUAUGGCUCCCAGGAAAUAAAAUGAAUGAAUUAGAUUAGAUGACCUGGAAGAUUUCUUCUAGUUCUAAAAAUCUAUGAUCCCAUGAUCUUUGAGAGUCUUCCCUGAAUAGAGCUUCUCUUUGCUCAGAAUGGCAGCUUUGGGAAAGAACCUCAGAAAGGGUCUAAUCCUAUCUCUUCAUUUUAUAAAAGAGGAAACUUGGAAGACAAUAAAGGACACGGGACUGUCCAAGGUCACAUAGUUAGAGAGUAGUUAGCCUCAAAAAUUCCAGAAUCUUGUCUCUGACCACACAGAAAGAGAAUACCAUGAGCCAUUCUUAAAAAUAAUUCCUAAUCAGGCAGCUCCCAUGUGCCUCUGGUUCUCAUUUUUAAAAAAUAUGUAAUACAACAUAAUAAAUAUUUAUAGAUUUAUAAAGUACCUACAGUGUAUAAAGUUCACUACAGUGAACAAUAUUUGAAGCACUGGUUAAAAUACAAAAUUUAGAUAAAUACUGCUUGACCUCAAGGAAUUUACUAUCUAGUGGGUGAAUGAGUCAACAAGGGCAACUAUAAUGUACAAUACUCUGAAGAUCUCUAUUGUAUGUUAUUUUGCAUACAAUGUUGAAGAUGACACUUUAAUCUAGAAACUCCUAUUAUCUUCUAAUCCUAUUAUGGAACAUUGCCUUUUAUUUCAAUGAACUUUUGAGGAAGCACUACAGUGAGAUAACUGCAUUUUAAAAUGGAACUAUUGUAUGAUUUCCUCAUAAUCUGGGAUUAAACUGAAUCUCUCAAAGUAAGGAAACAACCAGCCUAGAAAAGAUAGAAUCUAUCAAGAUAUAAGCUGAAGGUAUGAUCUUCCCACUUUUUGCAAUUAGCUUUCUUUUGAUUAUCCUACCAUCUAAGAUAUCUUCUCAUCCUAGCCUCUUUGUAAUUGUAUUCAAAGAGAUCGUCCUAAAGGUUGUCUGGCAAACUGUACCCUCCUCUCCCCAACCCACCAGAUGGCCAAUGUGCUGCUUUCUUUCAGUAUUAUAGUUUAAAAUGUGAUCGUGGAUAUCAGAGGUGUGCUGGUAAAUGUUUAACAACUGGCUCUCUGGGGGAAGAGGGGGAAGUUACACACUUUUAAAUGUAAUGGGUAUUACGAACAUUUUCUCCAUUGCUUUAAAUCUAGACAACAAACAGAAUAAUAAACCAGGCUCUGAUUUGUGGGCUAAAUGAUUUGUUACUCCCAUUCACCUAAUCUCCUCUCCCAUUUUUGCUUUCUGAUUAAAUGUUAUCCAUCCUUCAAAGCCAAGCCCAAGUCCCACAUUCUCCAAAAUACCUUCCCUAAAUUCUCCCUCUUUUUUCCUGAGUUCCUAGGGCUCCUACUAUGUCAUACAAUUUGAUCCUUAGUCCCAUAUUGUUUUUCCUAGUUUUCUACUUACUUCCUACAUGUUUAUCUUAUCUGCCCAGUAAGAUUUUAAUGAAUCUUCCUUAUAUUUUCUCAGCUAUCAUCCCUACUAAUCCAGUGCUAGAUGCAUAGUAGAUGUUUAGGAAAUAUGAGUUUAAAAAAUUGAAUUGAAUUGAAAAGGCAGUGUGAAAAAAAUUCUGAAUCUGCAGUCAGGAAAGGGAUGGGUUUGGUUCCUGUUCCUGGUUCUUACUAAUUAUGUAUUCCUAGGCACUUCCUAACCCUCUCUGGGCCUCAGCUUCUCCAUCUGUAAAACAGGGAAAUACUACUGGUAUUGCUUAAUCACCAUCACUGUCACCUUGUGGUGAAGCUCAACUGAGAUAAUAUAUACCAUGAAGUGGUGAUGUCAAAUUCAAAUAGAAGUGGGGGCCCCUAAAAAAUCUAUAAUGAUUCCCAUGAGCUGCAUAUUGAUGUAGAAAACUACAUAGUAACAUUAGCUGUGUUUUAUUGUAUUUUUACUUAUUUUGUUCAAUAUUUUCCACUUCCAUUUAAAUCUGAUUGGACCAUAAAUGUUGUGGGCUAUGUAUUUGACAAUUUCUGCUGCGAACUUUAUAGCACUAUAUCCAUUUUGUCUUAUAAUCAAUAGCUCAUUUCUGAUAUUUGUUUUUUAAAAAACACUUUUUAGACCUUUGGACUUGGAAUCAGGAAAAUUUUAUUUGAAUUUUAUCUCAACCACUUAGGAGCUUUGAGGAAAGUCAGUUAAGCUCUCUGGGACUCAGUUACCUCAUCUUUAAAAUGAGACAAUUGGUCUCCAUGACCUUUAAGAUACCACACACCUCACAAUCUAUGCUCCUAUGAUAAGUCAUCCCAUUCUUUCUUUGAAUUCUGUUGGGGAUUUGGUGCCACAAAGGAACAGGAUGCCUGGGUGCUAGGGUUGGAGAAAUGGAUCCUGCUCAGAGAGUGGGGAAAAGGAGGUGUGGUCCGCAGAUCAAAAAGAAAAAGUCAAGGUAUACAGACUGGCUUUGCCUGUUUGUUAGCUGUUGUACAUUAAGUGCCUGGUCUCCAUCUGUAAUUGCCCAGGACAGAUGUCUAUCUCUUAUAUCAGUAACUGGUCUGCAGCAUUGGCCCCAGUCCCCUGACUGCAUUGUCAUUCUGCAAACAGGCCUGGUUGGUAAUCAGAAUCAGCUGCUAGGAUCAAUCGUGGCCUUACAGGGCCUUAUCUCCCUAUUGUAGCUCUGCAAAUUAUUAUUUCUUUCUGCUGUAAUGAAAAAAAAAAGUCUCCAUUGAUUGCUAAAUGCAAGGCCUGAUGUUCCCUCAUGAUUGCCUUCAGAAUAAAUUGAAUACUGUAUUGUCCAGUAAUAAUUAUCAUGUUAUAGAGAUUUCAGCUAGCAAGAUAGGAAAAAUGGCUGUCAAUUAGAAGCUAGCAAAUAAGCCAGUGACUAAACUGUACCGAUGCAUAUUUUUAAAUGGCCUGAUUUAUUUACAUAUCAGGCUACCUCAUCACUCCCUGAGAAUGUCACUGAGCCAUAAUGGAAAACCUUGUAUGGAACUGAAACUCACCUUGAACUCUUGAGUUAAGAAGAGAGACUGUAAUCACAGGGGACUGGGGGAGCACAGAAAAGGAGCCGCAGUUUAGGUCAGAUACUGAUAAGAAAAGAUGAAGGCAGGCAGUUGCUUUCCCUCUUUUCCACUGCCAUGGACAUCACCUUACUUCAGGAUCUGCUCUCAUCGUCUCACAACUGGACCCCUUUAAGAGCGUCCCAACUUGUCUCCAUGACUCCAGCCUCUGUCCUCUCCAUUUUGAUACCAUCCUGCUGCCAAAUAAAACUCUCUAAUGCUCUUCAUUUGUUCUUCCUCCCCAUGUUUGACCUGUAGCUUUAAAUGCUGGAAUCCAAUGGUAGCCCCUGAGUGGGACCAGGCUGAAGGAAGGAGCCCAUGGGCUCAGCUUCUAAUGGAAGACAUAA